rnacentral:rRNA from 1 species
AUACGUAGGGUGCGAGCGUUGUCCGGAAUUACUGGGCGUAAAGAGCUCGUAGGUGGUUUGUCGCGUCGUCUGUGAAAUUCCGGGGCUUAACUCCGGGCGUGCAGGCGAUACGGGCAUAACUUGAGUACUGUAGGGGAGACUGGAAUUCCUGGUGUAGCGGUGAAAUGCGCAGAUAUCAGGAGGAACACCGGUGGCGAAGGCGGGUCUCUGGGCAGUAACUGACGCUGAGGAGCGAAAGCAUGGGUAGCGAACAGGAUUAGAUACCCUGGGAGUCCAUGCCGUAAACGGUGGGUGCUAGGUGUAGGGGUCUUCCACGACUUCUGUGCCGUAGCUAACGCAUUAAGCGCCCCGCCUGGGGAGUACGGCCGCAAGGCUAAAACUCAAAGGAAUUGACGGGG